rnacentral:lncRNA from 1 species
CCGUACUCGGGCAGGGCCUCGGGUCUGACGAUGGGCUGCGCCUCGACGGCGCGCUGUGCCGGCGUGAGGCUGCGCACGUACGCCGCCGGCAGGCCCGACGGGUCGACGUCGACCAGGGCACGCACCGUCACCGAAUCCUCGUCGACGAUGAAGCGCUCGACGUACUCGGCGGGCACGUUGAGGCCCGGCAGGUCGGGGAUGACGGCCAUCGUGUUGUGCUCGAUGCCGCACUGACCGGCGUACAUGCGAAAGUAGCCGGCCUCGCCCCAGGCGACGCCCCACGAGUUGCGGAUGAUCCAAAAGGUCUCGCCUGUGUCGCCGUCGGUGCCCCAGCCGACGAUAGUGAUGGCGUGGCCGCCGUCCUUUUCCGACACGCCGUCGUAGCGGUAGAUACCCGUGGCCCACGACGGGUUCCCCUGGCCGGGCUGCAUAAAGUCGCGAAAGACCUCGUAGCCGGCCAUGAUCGGGCCAAACUUGUAGAUCUCGGCCUUGAUGGCCUCGAUCUGCAUCUGCAGGCCCGCGCCCGUGAGGUUGGUGCCGGCGCCCUCGUCGCUCGACACGUAGUAGCGCCCGAUGGCGCGGUAGAUGCGGUCGAUGCGGUCCUCGGUCUUACAGCGCUCGUAGGGCGGGAGCGUGGGCAGCAGGCUGCGGCACGGCGGCAACGGCUGGCCCGGCUGCGCGUUGCCCAACGUGUAAGGGUCACACCGCAGGGAGCGCGUCCCAUAGCGGUAGAGGUAUUCAGAUACCAGGAACAGCGUGUUGCCGUAGCAGGCCACCUGGCCCUGAAAGGUCCGGUUGAGGUUGUGCGCCUGCACCAGGUCGGCCUGGAGCGUGGCGAUCUGGGCCUCGAUCGUGGCGCGAUCGGCCUGCGACACGUUGCCCACGGCGAGGGGCUUGCUAAAGCCGCACAGGAUCAAAUGCUCGGGCGAGAGGGCGAGGCCAAAGGCGCCCUUGGUGUGGAUGGCAAAGCGGUCGCCGAGCACGCCCGCGCUGGAAAAGGCCCAGCAGCCGCCGCACUGGCCCUGGUCGAGCACGGGCGACAAGAGGCCGUUCCACUGCUUGCGCCCGUCAAAGUUGGGCGGCGGCUUGACCUCGUCGAUGAGCCGUCCCGAGUUGACCGCCAGCAACUGCCGGUACUGGGCGUUGACGCUGGGCGACGACCGCAGCAGCGUGAGCGACGGCCGUGCCUGACCCACGAUAAACGUGGAGGUGGCGCCCAAUGCCGCCGCCGGCGAGGCCGCUGGGGGUUGCGACAUUGUCGGCUGCGCAGGCGGUUGCACGGGGGAUUGCAUCGACACGGCCAUCGGCUGGGCCGGAUAGGGUGAAAAAGACUGGGGCUGCCACGAGCCUCCGUACGAGGCCGCGGAUAUGCCCGGCGGCGGCUGGGUUGACGGGGGCACCUCCAUGCCCGCAGGCGGCCAGGCGCCUACUGCGGCCCUCAUCUGGUCCAUCAUGGGCGACGGCGACGCCAUCAUAGGCCACGGCGACGGCGGGGGUUGCAUGCUGGAAGACAUCAUCACAGGCGCGCCAUACAUGGGUGACCCCGUGCCGAGCGGCGCCUGCGUGGGCCACGACGGCGCGGGCGAUACUGCCGCCGGUGGACCCCAAGAGGGAUCCGACACGUCGCCUGACCCAAAAGGCAGGGGCAGGGGCGACGGCGGUGCAUAAAAGGCACCUCCAUGGACAACGUUGGACAGUGUCGUGGUGGCGCUCCUGCCCACAACCAUCGUGGACACACUGACGGCGCGCGGUAUGCGCGGCGGCGGCGCAUAGGCCGGCAGCAACGAG